UACGUAGGCAGCAAGCGUUGUUCGGAGUUACUGGGCGUAAAGAGUGUGUAGGCGGUUCUCUAAGUUUGGUGUGAAAUCUCCCGGCUUAACUGGGAGGGUGCGCCGAAAACUGGAGGGCUUGAGUAUGGGAGAGGAAAGCGGAAUUCCUGGUGUAGCGGUGAAAUGCGUAGAUAUCAUGAGGAAUACCAGAGGCGAAGGCGG
rnacentral:rRNA from 1 species